AAGAAACGCCAGCGAAAAAGUCGAAACGAAGAAAUCCGAUGAUGCUCCGAAGAAUAAACGAGUUUCUAAGCCACCAACAACUGAUCAAUUGCUUUCGUUUGAUGAAGAUAUUCCUGUGGCUCCUGUUGUAAAUGGUCCUACA